GAUAACAAAUUGUAUUAAAAAAUAUAAACUACAUAGUCUGUACAAAAUAUGUAACUCUUAACUAAUUAAUGCCUACUCAUGCAAAGAAUGCUACCUACAUGUGUAGAAAAGUAGUUGCAAGGUACACGCACAAAAUCUCUGAUUUUACUUGUCUAUAUGAAAGCUGAUAGACAUGUAUUAUGAUGUGGUAUUCUUCCUGUAUAAUAAAUUUCAAUUGUAUUGUUUGAAAAUGCAUAAUGGAUCUGUCAACCAAACAGUUUUAUGCAUGUUUUCUCUCUUAAAAGUUGUUACUUACUUUAUUCAACCCAAUUUUUUGUUUUAUUUCAUGUACAUUGUAUGUUGUUCUGUAAGGGUUAGGAAACAAUCAUUUAAAACAUAUGUUCUGAAGCUUUUCACUACAUUUGUAUGUAUGACUAAAAAUACACAUCUGUAUCCCUUUAUUUUGUAUCAUGAUUUUAUUCUUGUUUCAAUGAUUUCUUCUUUGCCAAAUAUUGUAGUGGUCAUGUGUGCAUCAAAAUCUGUUUUAUGAAGUUUAGAAUGUAUUAGCCUUAUGGAAGUUAGAAAUUUUAAAAGGCUUUAUUAGUGAAUAUCGUGGAAGCAGAGAUACAUUUUGAUUAAAAAAAAAUCAGGAAUGCACAAUUCUUUGCUGUUUACUCUUACUAUAAAAGGCUGCACAAAAAAUACACAUCUGCUUAUUGAUUCCUUAAUGAUGAGUUGACUGUGCUUAUUUUAUGUUCUUACUUUUGGGUCAUAGAACCGUGUUACUACUGCUGCAGAGGCUGAACAGUCAGCUCCUGUUUCCCAGUGGUCUUUUAAAAUGUAUUGUUGCCUGUAGCUCUCAGAUGCCUCUGAGAUGGCCUUUUUGUACUUAAAAAGAUACCUGAAACUCCUCCCAGCUGAUGCAUUGCUGUUUGUAUGAAAAUUUACCCUUUAUCCUGCCUUCUUUUCGUCCUACUAGCUGACCUGUAAGAUGCUAGUUACUUACUUGUAUUGUAUUAUUUUAACCCUUUUUCUGGGUUAAUAAUUGGACUUUUCUUCAUUUGAUUACAGUUUUGAGGAGUGGUUUUUAUUUUACUUUAAGCCACUGAAUGUUAGCUCUCACAGUCUAAGAACUUGGCCUAGUAUUAAGACUAAGUUGAUCCUGAUAGUGAGGUGCCAUUUCCUACUUGAUCCUCCUAGUGAGGUGGUCAUUUUCCCUGCCUCUUCUGCCUGUGUUCUUCCUCAUCCCUCUCCUCCCAUGUUGGAUUGUCAGUCAUGUAGCCACAGGAUGAAAUUGAAUGAAAUGGACCACAUUUUUGUUCCCCCAGGUUGUCUUACUUUAUUUCAGAGUCAGUUUGUUAAAGCUGAUACAAGGAUGGGACAAUGUAUGGAGAGGCAAUUCUGACAGUGCUUGGGUCCAUCAGUGCUGGUCACUUUAAACAUCACCUCCUAAGGGCACCGGAACAGGCAAUUCCCAAAAGUCAGAAAUUAAGCAGGUGAAGCAGAAGGCUGGCUUGGCUGAUCAGCAAUCUUCUCUUGGAAAUACAGCAAAAAGGAAGGUGUAUGCCCGGUGGAAGCAGGGUCAAGUGGCAUGGGAGGAAUACAAGAGAUGCUGCUUGCCACUGUAGGGAAAAAAUUUAUGCAGCUGAAACUCCAUUGGAGUUGAAGCUGCUAAAAAUGUAGGGAGCGAUAAAAAAGAGGGUUUUUUCAAAUAUAUUAAUGGCAAUAGGAAGUGUAAAAAUAACAUCAGCCCAUUACAGGAUGAGGGUGGUCUCUUCGCAAACAAGGACAGGGACAAGGCAGAGGUGUUUAAGGCAUUCUUUGCCUCCAUCUUCAGCAUGGGUGAUGGACCAAGGGAGUCUCAGUGCCCUGAGGUGGAGAACCAUGACUGCAAGAAUCAUCAACUCCCAGUUUACUUUGGAAUUGUGUGGGAUCUGCUCGUUCCACUGGAUCUGUACAAAUCUAUGGAGCCUGAUGGGAUUCAUCCAAGAAUCCUCAAAGAGCUGGCCGAUGUAAUCACAAAACCUCUCGCAAUGAUUUUUGAGUGGUCUUGGUAAUCUGGAGAGGUCCCAGCUGACUGGAAGCUGGCCAGCACUAUCCCAAUUCUCAAAAGGGUCAAGGAGGACCCUGGAAACUACAGACCUUUCAGUCUCACUUUGGUGCCUGGUGAAAUAAUGGAAAAGAUUAUUCUGGGAGGUAUUGGAAAACACCUGGACAACAAUGCACUCAUCAGUCACAGCCAACACAGCUUUGUGUGAGGAAAGUCCCACUUGUCAAACCUGAUUUCCUUCUAUGAAGGGUAACCCACCUAGUUGACUGAGGAAAUCCAGUUGGUGUAAUUUUUUUGGAUUUCAGUAAAGCUUUUGAUGCUGUCCCUCACAGUAUGCUCCUGAACAAAAUGUCCAGCCCACAGCUUGAUAAUCACAUUAUGUGGUGGGUGAGCAGCUGGCUCUCAGGUCAGGUGCAAAGGGUUGUAGUGAUCAGGGUGACAUCAGAGUUUUGGUGACUGGUCACUAGUGGGGUUCUGCAGACUUCAUACUCAGCCCCUGUGCCCUUCAACAUCUUCAUUAACGACUUAGACAUAGGUCUCAAAGGAGUGAGUUUGCCAGUAACACCAAAUUGGGAGUAGCUGUUGACUCCCUCGAAGGCCGAGAUGCUCUUCAGAGAGACCCAGACAAAUCAGAGGGCUGGGCAGUCACCAGAUGUGUGAGGUUUAACAAGGACAAGUGCUGGACUUUCCACCUUGGAUGAUACUGUGUGUACACUAGGUAAUGAGGGACUGGAAGCAGUGCUGCAGAAAAGGACCUGGGGGUCCUGUCAAUGGCAAGUUGAGUCAUCACUGUGCUCUGGCAGCCAGGAGGGCCAUCCGUGUCCUGGGGGGCAUCAGAUACAGCAUCAUCAACCACUCAAAGGAGGGGAUUGUCCCACUCUGCUCUGCACUUGUGUGGCCUCACCUAGAGUGCUGUGUGCAGUUUGGGACACCACAAUAUGGGAAUGACAUUAAGCUAUUCGAGAGCAUCCAGAGGAGGGCAGCAAGCAUGGUGAAGGGCAUUGAGGGGAAGCCUUGUAGGCAGCAGCUGAGGUAAUUUGGUUUGUUCAGCCGGGAGGAGACUGAGGGCAGACCUUGUUGGGGUCUUCAACAUCUUUAUGGGGGAAAAGUACCUAUGUCUUCACUCUUGUGACAGGACCCAAGGAAGUGGCAUGAAAUGGCAUGAUUCAGGGGAGGAUAUCAGGAAAAGAUUUUACACCCAGAGAACACUAGAACAGGCUCCCCAGGGAAGUGGUCACAGCACCAAGCCUGACAGAGUUCAAGAAGCGUUUGCACAAUGCACUCAUGCACAUGGUGUGAUUCUUGGGUUGGCCUGUGCAGGGCCAGGAGUUGGACUUGAUCAUUGUCGGUCCCUUCCAUUCAGCAUAUUCUGUGAUUACACGAUUCUUGGACUUAGCUAUCUGUACUAAAAACUUGUAGAAAUACACUAUAUGUGAGUUCUAAUUCAGACUCCUUUUUUUGAAAGAGUUGCUGAUAAUGAGAGAAGAUUUAGUGAACUCUAUCAAGACAUAAAUUUAGCCUAUAUCUUAAAAGUGAUUAUUCUUUAUUGUUUGCUUCAAUACUGUUUGUUUAGUACUCAUGUUGAAUUUAAAUUUUUAUUCAACAAAUACAAGCAGAUGAAAGUAUACCAUUGGGAAGAAGAAAAAAAAGCAAAGCAAAAUGUUGCUUGGCUAGCCACUUUAAAGAACAGCCAAAGUACCACAGUGACCUUAUUUCUUGACAUUUCAUAUUAUUUGAGAACCUCAGCUUCUGGUCUGCUUUUGGCAACCUUUAUAAGUGAUUUUUGGUUUUUUUGGGUUUUUUUGGUGGGUUUUUUGCUUUGUUUUGUUUUCUCUUCUUAACUGUAGAUCAACUCUGCCUCAUAUUCUCAGAAUACAUUGUGCUUAUCACCUUAAUGAAAAAAGUAUAGUAAUUGAUUGUGUACUGUCCAUUAUGCAAUUUGCUCAGAGUUCUUGUAAGUUUUCAGUCUGUCUGACACCUUACAUGCAGCUAUUUAUCUUUCUGAUGGCUAGAAGUAGAAGAUAUAGCUGAGUUUUACGUUAGAUAAACCAAAAAGGCAGUGGGGAUUUUUUUUCAGUAAUCACAUACAAUACCAAUAUAAAUACAUUUAAGAACACUAGAACUGCUAUCGUUUUUCUUAGUGCCUGAAAAAUAUGUCCUAGUAUGCAAUUCAUAGAUAUUUUUAAUACUAGAAGUGCAUUUGGGUUCCACUAUUCUAGAGUUCUUAUAAGUGUCCUGUAUGUAACACUACAAUAUUGUAUUCCACUAGUUCCCUCAAUGUAGCAGGGGUCACUUAAAGUAUUUUAAUCCAAAUAAAAAAAAAAGUCACUGAAAUGCUAUUGUAGAAGUAAGAACUGCUUGUUUUUUUCUUGUAAAUGAUGUACAAUUAUACUAACAACUGAAAAGCAUUGAAAGGACCUUCCUGAAUCAAUAAUUUGUUCUGUGGAAAAAAAAUAAAGUCAAGAUAAUACUUAAAACUCUAAGUCUUAAUUUUAUUCUCUAUUUUGUGGGAUAUUUUUCCCUUAAUAAAUUAUUUAAAUGUACAGUCUAAGUGUUUAUCUUGUGACGUUUUUCCCCAAAGCCAAGUAAGUCUUUGCUUUGUUAUUCAUUCUCUGUUUCCUUAGUAAUGUUAUAGGCUUUUUUCCACCCUUUUUACACUAGAAUUACCUUUUUUUUUGUUUUCUACUGCUGUAUAAAGGAAAUAAACGUUGUAGUGUUCCCUAUGUAUGUAUGUAGUUUCACUUAUAUAUGUUAUGGCCUUAACUGCUUGUUCUCUAAACAAGCUGGAAUUCUUACAGAUUCUUUGCUUACAAUUAUUCCAAUUCCUUAAGAAUUCCAUUUAUGAAGUGAAGCCUAUAGUUUAACUUAGUUUCCUCUUCCUGCAGUAUCUUGCACUGUAUUUCUACAUAAAGAAUGCAAAAAUUAUUAUUAAGGCAUAAAUAUUAUACAUAUUCCUGGUUUUUCUAGAGUUUCUUUUGUUCUGUGGAGACUGAAAAUCCUCUUUGCAGGUUUUCUCAGCCCAUUCCUCCAGUAAGGAGUGAGCUGAGGAAGGAAAAUAACAGAAUCUUGGAUUGCAGUUAAUUCUUGCUGGCAGACAGUUCAGAGUUCAAGUUUGAUAACACUGUGUCUUGUCACAGAGCUUUAAGAGCUUUUGUGUCUAUUGAAUUACCUUGAACUGUAAUUCAGGGCUUGAUCAUAGCUUUUCAUUUCAGGUAAGUGAAGAGGUAAACUCCUCUUAGUUUUCUGCAGGUGUUUGAACCUCCCCCCAGCAGUGUAAAGAGCAGUGCUGAAAACCACUAAAUGCUAAAGGUUUACAGCUGCUUCUUUAAGCUGGAUAAGACUUUUGCCUACCUGUUUUAUGGAGGUGUUAAACCCAUUCAAAUGUCUUUAUGAAAAACUAAUAACUACUUGAAGGAUUGGGUGCUGUUUCUUUAUGCCUCUUAGGUCUGGAUGUCCUUGGCAUCACACUGUGGUCUUUUUGUGUUGUGUGUAAAGCAGGAAAUCUUUCCCACUGAAUAAUUAAGCAGAUGCAGUAGAUAAAUGUGUCCUGGUUGGAUCUCUUAUAUAGCUUCUGUCCUCAUUGACUACACAAAAACCAAGGCUGGUAAAAUAGAAUGGUAGAGUCUACUUAAUUAGUUCUAAGAUUCCUGUAGAAAAAAUGUCCCUGAGUAUUGCAUCAGAGAAGACUGAUGCCUUUAAUUCUUUGGCUUCUGUACUGUUAGGAAAAUCUCUAGAAUAAUUUUACAGUUCAAAAUUUAGUGACUCAAUUCAUUAAAUGAAGGGUGAGUGUUUUGGACUAUUCAUCUUCCUGAGUGAUGGUGGACAUUUAUUGAAAUUAAUCUAAAACAUUAGUAGUGUGACUUUAGUUUCCACAAAAGACUGUCUUUUGGCUUUAAGAAAGCACUUGAGGUGUAGGCAGUAAUUUUGUUGGGAUGUGCCUUACUUUCCAUCUUGUCAAGAUAUGGUGAUUUCCCUGACCUCUUAGGCUGAAAAAUUGCUUUUCAUAGUCUACCUUAAACUUUUUUUUUUCUUACCUGAGACUUUUUGUACUCACUAGAAAUAUUGCCUUAAAUUUCAUUGCAUUUUUUACAGUGCAUCAUCAUACAUGCCCUACACACAGUUAACCUUCAGGUUCUCUCAGGAUAAUUCUUUAUGUAAUUAUUUAUUUCCCCAACCUUCUUUUAAGGGGAAUCAUUUUGAGACAAACUUUUGGGAAACCACUUACCCUUAUCAACUGCUAGUAAAUGUUUUUCUUUAGCACCUUAGCCUCUGAGAAGCUACAUAGUUUUCCAGACUUUCACUUGUUGUACACAUGUUGGAAUAUAGAUAGAUGUUCACAAUUUAGCUAUUCCUCUGAAAGUUACUAGCCUGUGGUGGUGUUCACAGGGGUCCCAGGAUGAGAGAAGACAUGAGAAUCUUGACUCCUCUUUUCAGAAGGCUGAUUUAUUAUUUUAUGAUAUAUAUUAUAUUAAAGCUAUACUAAAAGAAUAGAAGAAAGAAUUUAAUCAGAAGGCUUGAAAGGAAAGGAAUGGAAUGAUCAUAAAAUCUUGUUACUGACCAGAGAGUCCAAGACAGCUGGACUGUGAUUGGCCAUUAAUUAUAAACAACCACAUGAGACCAAUCAAAGAUGCACCUGUUGCAUUCCACAGCAGUAGAUAAUUAUUGUUUACAUUUCGUUUCUGAGGCCUCUCAGCUUCUCAGGAGAAAAAAUGCUAGCAAAAGGAUUUUUCAUAAAAUAUGUCUGUAACACUAGCCCUUGGGUGAAACGUGGUAACUGAUACUGAAAGGUGGUUAAAGAACAGCAUUUUACUUUUUAAUUGACUAAAAGGAGGCAAAUUUCAAUUGAGGAGUAAUUUCUACCAAGUGAGCAUAAACCAGGGGCUUUCAAUUUUAUGGUUGUAUCAUUGAGCAUUGUAAAAUAUAUUUGAGUCUUCACCUUGAGCAUUUCAUAUUCAUCAGACUAGGAAAUAUUGUUACUAAUUAUUCUCAGCUCUACGAUUCAGAUUAAGGACAUAUUCUUCUUGGGGUUUACAAUUAUUGAAAAUAGUUGUGACAGUUAAAGCAGGACUCUCAGAACAUUACACUGUUCUUCUCCUUCUCCUCUUGUUAUUAACUGUAAUUGCCUAUAAUGACAGUUCAUUAUUUGGAGACUGCAUAUGGGCUCCUUUCUUGGGUUAUUUUGAGACUGUUCCUCACUAAAUAUCUUCCUUUAAACUGAGUUGAAAUUUUGUUUUGAGAUAGCAUAGCUUUGCUUGGUUAAAGUAAUGUCUUUGAUCCUGCUCUUGUGUGAUUAAAGUUCUUCAGAAUCUCAUUUUGAGAAUUCUGAAAGAUUCUUUGCUUUGAUUUCUCUGUAUUGCCUGUGUUGAGAUUGAAUAUGUUGAGUAAAAGAAGGUAGUUGUGUAAAAAUAUCUGGACUGUUCUUGCCAUCGCUAUUUCUCUCCUGAUUUCCCUGUCUUCUUCACUUUCCCAUGUUCUGAGUUUGUCCACAUUUCAUCGAUUAAUUAAAAGGAUUUUAAUUAAAGAAGAAAUGAGAGGAAUUGGUGUAGUAUUCCUGACUGGUUGCUUUCUAAGGAAGGGAGACAUGGUACUGUUGGUUUGGUAUUGCAGAAGAGAAGUGAUGAUGAAUAUAAUCUGUGGAGUAUGUGUGGUAUGUGUGUGCAAUUCCAGAUCUUGCUCAUUUGUAUGUAUACAGCACGUGUUCAAUAGAUAUGAUACUUAAUGUACUGAAGUUUCCUUAUACAGGGAUGGUUAAUAUUGGGAAUGCUUGAGCAUUUUUCUUCCUUGUUUGAUGACCUGCAGGUGUUACCAGUAAUAAUAUCUAGAAAAAUAAGUCUUUUAUAAGAACUUAAAGAAGAUGUUUACUGUGAAGGCAGUUUUUUUCAGCAAGGUGUUUUGUUUUUCUUCAUAAAUGCUAGAACAUAGAAAAUUACUCUUUUAGGCUGUUUUCUGGGGGGAUAAGGAGAGAAGGAGGGAGGUUGGGGGAGUUGAAUUGUAUGUUUUUUGUGGGUUCUAUUUUUUAGUGUUGAAGAGAUCUUUGCCAAAGGAGAACGCGUUUCUCUAAUGAGAGUGAGUUGUUUAAUAAAAAAGCAAUAAAUAUAUGAUGGAUAUACAGAGGGACUUUUUAUUGAUGUUUUUGUGUAUUUAAUGAGUAUGUCACACGUAUUGAAUACCAAACAUUAUAGGAUAUUCUAACUUUCCAACUUGAAACAUUUGGUUAUGCAGGCAGAUAUCAGGGACUAUCUCAUUGCUCAGUUCAGAUUCUCCUAUGCUUAUGAAGCCUAUUUAUAAUUGGUCCUUUCUUAUUGUGGGGCUUUUUUUGUUUCAGUGUUUUGUUUUGUUUUUUCUUCCUUUGGUACCUAAUUGGAAGUGUUGCUUCUGACUUCUUAGUGAAAAUCUUGAGAUCUUAUUUUGUGCAGGUUCAAGUUGAUAAAAUCUUUUGCAGAAAAGGUUUGCAUAGUUAUGUAAUAGUUUGAAUUUAUUCCUUCAUCUAUUGAAUUUGAACACCUAUUUGAAUUUAUUCCUUCAUCUCUUUUCUGAUGUGGUCGUUUUUGUUCUUCCUCUCGACUCUAUGUUCUCAUAUAGGACAUUCACUGUGUGUCACAAGGCAUAUAGGAGCAAAUGAAAGUACUUGUGUUUAGUUAUUGCCAUACUCUUUGUUCCUUUCUUGACAGAGCUCCCCCAGUGUCCUGUUUCAAUGUAGGACGAGAAUGUUCUUGAAUGUUCUACAACUGAAAGUAAAAUUUUGCAAGAUAUUUGAUGCAGGCUUGUGGGGUUUCUCUUCUUGCUUGCAUUCCUUCCUGGCAUACUCCAGCCUCAAUUCUUUUCCCUGUCUGGAUAAUCAGCCUCUUUUUGAUGAUGUCAGACACAUGUUAGGUUACAUCAGCAAUCCUCACAGCUGGGCAUUUUGAGGCCCAGCUGAUGGAAAUCGCAUCAUAAGUCACAGAGUUUCAUCAGUGUCCGGGGAGAGGGUGAAGCUGAGUCCCCAUUGAGAGAGCUGAAUCUUCUACACAUUCAGGCCAGUUGAAGGAGAGAGCUACACAAUAAAAGUUAAUCAGUCAACCUGGAAAUGGACUUCCUUUCAUAUCAAAGUGGGAAGAGAAAUACUUGUGAAUGUGAGUAAAUUGGUGCUAUGGGGUUAUUAUGCAGUAGUUUUACUUUUACACAUGGAAAGUUUUUUUUUUUUUUUUUUUUUAACUUUGUUCCUAACUUACUGUGUAGAUGUAAAAAAUGUUGAAGAUUGGAUAUUACAGUUUUAGGAUAAUAAAAUUGCUUAGGUUGGAAAAGGCCUUGAAGAUCAUCAAGCAAAAUCAUUAGUCUAGCACUGUCAAGUCCGCCAUUAAACCCUAUCCCUAAAUUCCACAUCUACAGGUCUUCUUAAUACUUCUAGAAAUGGUGGCUCAGCCACUUCCCUGGACAGUCUGCUCCAAGGCCUACCACUAUUUUUCUUUAUAUUCCAUCUAAACCUCCCUUAGCACGACUUGAGGUGAUUCCUCUUGUCUUGUUACUUGGGAGAGGAGCCUAACCCCCACCUUGCUACAAAGUAGCCACCUUCAGAGUAACUGUGGAUAAUGAUAAGGGAUCUCGUCAGCCUCGUUUUUUUCCAGCCUAAGCACAACUCCAGCUGCUUAGGCUGCUCUUCUUAGGACUUGUGCUCCAGACCUUUCACCAGCCCUUCUGCCCUUCUCUGCACAUGCUCCAGCACCUCAAUGUCUUUCUUGGAAUGCAGGGCCCAGAACUGGACAAAGCACUCAAGGCGUGGCCUCACCAGUGGCCCAGUACAGGGGGAUGAUCACUGCCGUGGUCCUGCUGGCCACACUAUUGCUCAUAGAGGCCAGGAUGUCAUUGGCCCUCUUGUCCACCUGGGCACAGUUGGAUCAUGUUCAGCCACUAUCAGCCAGCACACCCCAGGGUGCCUUUUCCUCUGGGCAGCUUUUCAGUCACUCUGCCUCCAGCCUGUGGAGAUGCCUGGGGCUGUUGUGACCCAAGUGCAGGACCUGGCACUUGGUCUUGUUGAACCUCUUAAAAUUUGCCUCAGCCCAUUGAUCCAGCCCAUCGAGAUCCUUUGUAGAGUCCUGCCCUCCAGCAGAUCAACACUCCUACCCAACUUGGGGUCAUCUGCAGACUGACUGAGGGUGCACUUGAUCCUCUUGUCCCUAUCACUGAUAAAUAUAUGAAGCAGAACUGGUCCCAGUACUGAGCCCUGGGGAGCAACGUUUGUGACCAGCCACCAGCCACUGUCCUGUAGCAGUAUAAAAAGUUCCUAAUGUUUUCAUGCAUAUUUUGCCCAUCAUCAUCUUUUAAACCUGUUGUAGAACUUGCAGGAUGAUAUGGUCUAUUUUUUUAGAGUCAUGGUUUUUAGCUAAAAGUAUAGGUGCAAAUUUUAUUUUAAAAUGUAAAGCAUACAAGGUAUAAGAAAUGUAGAGCUCCUGACUUUCAAGUUAAGGUACUCUCUUUUUUAUGGGGCUGUUCUGUGUUAUCUCAUGGGCAGAUUCUGUUUCAGGAGUCUUUUAAAUUGCUAUGUCCCUGCACUACCUAAUGCAGUUUUGUUUUAUUUUUUAAUUAGGCGUUGUUUUAUAUAUAUUUCUUUUGUAUUUUUCUGUAUAUUUAUGGAAAUAAAUUUUGCCAUGUUUAACUUUCCAA